AUUGAACGCUGGCGGCGUGCCUAACACAUGCAAGUCGAGCGAGCGGCGGACGGGUGAGUAAUGUAUGGGGACUGCCCGAUAGAGGGGGAUAACUACUGGAAACGGUGGCUAAUACCGCAUCUUGUUGGCUUACCCAUAUGGGAUUAGCUAGUAGGUAAGGUAAUGGCUUACCUAGGCGACGAUCCCUAGCUGGUCUGAGAGGAUGAUCAGCCACACUGGAACUGAGACACGGCCCAGACUCCUACGGAGGCAGCAGUGGGGAAUAUUGCACAAUGGGCGCAAGCCUGAUGCAGCAAUGCCGCGUGUAUGAAGAAGGCCCUAGGGUUGUAAAGUACUUUCAGUCGGGAGGCGUUACCGAAAGAAGAAGCACCGGCUAACUCCGUGCCAGCAGCCGCGGUAAUAC
rnacentral:rRNA from 1 species